rnacentral:tRNA from 1 species
GAACAUGUCACGAAUUUCGCUAUAGCAUCUGCCCUCCCAAGGCAGAGGCCGAUGGUUCGAAUCCAUUCGGGUCCAUCA